rnacentral:rRNA from 1 species
AUUGAACGCUGGCGGCAGGCCUAACACAUGCAAGUCGAGCGGAUGAAGGGAGCUUGCUCCUGGAUUCAGCGGCGGACGGGUGAGUAAUGCCUAGGAAUCUGCCUGGUAGUGGGGGAUAACGUCCGGAAACGGGCGCUAAUACCGCAUACGUCCUGAGGGAGAAAGUGGGGGAUCUUCGGACCUCACGCUAUCAGAUGAGCCUAGGUCGGAUUAGCUAGUUGGUGGGGUAAAGGCCUACCAAGGCGACGAUCCGUAACUGGUCUGAGAGGAUGAUCAGUCACACUGGAACUGAGACACGGUCCCGACUCCUACGGGAGGCAGCAGUGGGGAAUAUUGGACAAUGGGCGAAAGCCUGAUCCAGCCAUGCCGCGUGUGUGAAGAAGGUCUUCGGAUUGUAAAGCACUUUAAGUUGGGAGGAAGGGCAGUAAGUUAAUACCUUGCCGUUUUGACGUUACCAACAGAAUAAGCACCGGCUAACUUCGUG